rnacentral:rRNA from 1 species
GUACACUCCUACGGGAGGCAGCAGUGGGGAAUAUUGGACAAUGGGCGCAAGCCUGAUCCAGCCAUGCCGCGUGAGUGAUGAAGGCCCUAGGGUUGUAAAGCUCUUUCACCGGAGAAGAUAAUGACGGUAUCCGGAGAAGAAGCCCCGGCUAACUUCGUGCCAGCAGCCGCGGUAAUACGAAGGGGGCUAGCGUUGUUCGGAAUUACUGGGCGUAAAGCGCACGUAGGCGGAUCGAUCAGUCAGGGGUGAAAUCCCAGGGCUCAACCCUGGAACUGCCUUUGAUACUGUCGAUCUGGAGUAUGGAAGAGGUGAGUGGAAUUCCGAGUGUAGAGGUGAAAUUCGUAGAUAUUCGGAGGAACACCAGUGGCGAAGGCGGCUCACUGGUCCAUUACUGACGCUGAGGUGCGAAAGCGUGGGGAGCAAACAGGAUUAGAUACCCCUGUAGUCCC